UGCAUAUUGGGCGGAACAGGUGCCCGCAAGGGCUUAAUAGGGAAGACCGGUGCAAUGCCGGCACGGUCCCACCACUGUAAUGGGGAGCAAACCCAAGAUAGUAUCGUGUUACACAGGAUUAGGGUUGACACAGUACUUAGCCACUGGGACGAAAACUCCUGGGAAGGUUUGGGCGAGCGAAGAUCCAGAGCCAGGAUAACUGCCUGUUCCGUAACUACCUU
rnacentral:ncRNA from 1 species